GCCAGUGUGGCGUAAUGGUUUGAGUUUUAUACAACAACUGUGGAGACUAGGGUUCAAUCCCCAGCUUGGCU